rnacentral:rRNA from 1 species
GACGAACGCUGGCGGCGCGCUUAACACAUGCAAGUCGAGCGAUGAAAUUUCGACAGAUCCCUUCGGGGUGAAGAUGAAAUGGAUUAGCGGCGGACAGGUGAGUAACACGUGAGUAACCUGCCUUUGACAUUGGGAUAGCCUCGGGAAACUGGGAUUAAUACCAAAUGACACUAACUGAUCACAUGAUCAAUUAGUCAAAGAAAUUCGGUCAAAGAUGGACUCGCGGCUGAUUAGCUAGUUGGUGAGGUAACGGCCCACCAAGGCGACGAUCAGUAGCCGGCCUGAGAGGGUGAUCGGCCACAUUGGAACUGAGACACGGUCCAAACUCCUACGGGAGGCAGCAGUGGGGAAUAUUGCACAAUGGGGGAAACCCUGAUGCAGCGACGCCGCGUGAGCGAAGAAGGCCUUCGGGUCGUAAAGCUCUUUUAUGAGGGAAGAUAAUGACGGUACCUCAAGAAAAAGCCCCGGCUAACUACGUG